rnacentral:rRNA from 1 species
UACGGGGGGGAGCAAGCGUUGUUCGGAUUUACUGGGCGUAAAGGGCGCGUAGGCGGCGUGACAAGUCACUUGUGAAAUCUCCGGGCUUAACUCGGAACGGUCAAGUGAUACUGUCGGACUAGAGUACAGAAGGGGCAACUGGAAUUCUCGGUGUAGCGGUGAAAUGCGUUGAUAUCAUCAGGAACACCGGUGGCGAAAGCGGCUUACUGGGUCUCUUCUGACGCUGAGAAACGAAAGCUAGGGGAGCGAAGGGG